rnacentral:rRNA from 1 species
GAUGAACGCUGGCGGCGUGCCUAAUACAUGCAAGUCGAGCGAACGGACGUGAAGCUUGCUUCUCUGAUGUUAGCGGCGGACGGGUGAGUAACACGUGGAUAACCUACCUAUAAGACUGGGAUAACUUCGGGAAACCGGAGCUAAUACCGGAUAAUAUCUUGAACCGCAUGGUUCAAAAGUGAAAGACGGUCUUGCUGUCACUUAUAGAUGGAUCCGCGCUGCAUUAGCUAGUUGGUAAGUUAACGGCUUACCAAGGCAACGAUGCUUAGCCAACCUGAGAGGUUGAUCGCCAACACUGGAACGGAAACAGGGUCCAGACUCCGACGGGAGGCAGCAGUAGGGAAUCUUCCGCAAGGGGGGAAAGCCUGACGGAGCAACGCCGCGUGGGUGAUGAAGGUCUUCGGAUCGUAAAACUCUGUUAUUAGGGAAGAACAUAUGUGGAAGUAACUGUGCACAUCUUGACGGUACCUAAUCAGAAAGCCACGGCUAACUACGUG